AACGAACGCUGGCGGCGUGGAUAAGACAUGCAAGUCGAACGGAUUCUUUUCUGUAGCAAUACAGGGGAGGGUCAGUGGCGCAAGGGUGCGUAACACGUGGGCAACCUGCCCGGGAAUGGGGGAUAGCCCGCCGAAAGGCGGAUUAAUACCGCAUGCGGCUACCGGUCUCCAAGAUCGGGACGCUAAAGUCGGGGUCAAACCUGACGUUCCUGGAUGGGCCCGCGGCCUAUCAGCUAGUUGGGAGGUACGCUCACCAAGGCAACGACGGUAGCUGGUCUGAGAGGACGACCAGCCACAC
rnacentral:rRNA from 1 species